rnacentral:rRNA from 1 species
CCUACGGGAGGCAGCAGUGAGGAAUAUUGGUCAAUGGACGAGAGACUGAACCAGCCAAGUAGCGUGAAGGAUGACUGCCCUAUGGGUUGUAAACUUCUUUUAUAUGGGAAUAAAACAGGGUAUGCAUACCCUCUUGUAUGUACCAGAUGAAUAAGGAUCGGCUAACUCCGUGCCAGCAGCCGCGGUAAUACGGAGGAUCCGAGCGUUAUCCGGAUUUAUUGGGUUUAAAGGGUGCGUAGGUGGAUUGUUAAGUCAGUUGUGAAAGUUUGCGGCUCAACCGUAAAAUUGCAGUUGAAACUGGCAGUCUUGAGUACAGGAGAGGUGGGCGGAAUGCGUGGUGUAGCGGUGAAAUGCUUAGAUAUCACGAAGAACUCCGAUUGCGAAGGCAGCUCGCUGGACUGCAACUGACGCUGAGGCUCGAAAGUGUGGGUAUCAAACAGGAUUAGAUACCCCAGUAGUC